rnacentral:rRNA from 1 species
CCUACGGGAGGCUGCAGUCGAGAAUCAUUCACAAUGGGGGAAACCCUGAUGCUGCGACGCCGCGUGGGGGAAUGAAGGUCUUCGUAUUGUAAACUCCUUUCAUGUGGGAGCAAAUUAAAAAGAUAGUACCACAAGAGGAAGAGACGGCUAACUCUGCGGCAGCAGCAGCGGUAAUACAUAGGUCGUAAGCGUUGUUCGGAAUCACUGGGGGUAACGUGUGCGGAGGCGGUGUCGUAAGUCGUGUGUGAAAGGCGCGGGCUCAAGCCGCGGACGGCACAGGUAACUGUGAGACUAGAGUGAUGGAGGGGGAACCGGAAUUCGCGGUGUAGCAGUGAAAUGCGUAGAUAUCGGGAGGAACACUCGUGGCGAAGGCGGGUUCCUGGACAUUAACUGACGCUGAGGCACGAAGGCGAGGGGAGCGAAAGGGAUUAGAUACCCGAGUAGUC